rfam:Dendroctonus ponderosae Seq01036720, whole genome shotgun sequence.
AAAUCGGUCCUUUUCAGGACUACAAAAAUUUGAAACAAAUGGUCG